rnacentral:rRNA from 1 species
GUUUGAUCAUGGCUCAGGAUGAACGCUAGCGACAGGCCUAACACAUGCAAGUCGAGGGGCAGCGGAGAGGUAGCAAUACCUCUGUCGGCGACCGGCGAACGGGUGAGUAACACGUAUGCAAUCCACCUGUAACAGGGGGAUAACCCGGAGAAAUCCGGACUAAUACCCCAUAAUAUGGGCUCUCCGCAUGGAGGGCUCAUUAAAGAAAGCAAUUUUGGUUACAGACGAGCAUGCGCUCCAUUAGCCAGUUGGCGGGGUAACGGCCCACCAAAGCGACGAUGGAUAGGGGUUCUGAGAGGAAGGUCCCCCACAUUGGAACUGAGACACGGUCCAAACUCCUACGGGAGGCAGCAGUGAGGAAUAUUGGUCAAUGGUCGGCAGACUGAACCAGCCAAGUCGCGUGAGGGAAGACGGCCCUACGGGUUGUAAACCUCUUUUGUCGGAGAGUAAAGUACGCUACGUGUAGCGUAUUGCAAGUAUCCGAAGAAAAAGCAUCGGCUAACUCCGUGCCAGCAGCCGCGGUAAUACGGAGGAUGCAAGCGUUAUCCGGAUUUAUUGGGUUUAAAGGGUGCGUAGGCGGCACGCCAAGUCAGCGGUGAAAUUUCCGGGCUCAACCCGGACUGUGCCGUUGAAACUGGCGAGCUAGAG